CCCUUUGGGGCCCUGCCAGCAGCACCAAAAGAAUCUCUUGACUGUUUUCCCAGGGAAUUCCUGCCUUAAAUGUCAGCGGAGUACAGCUCCCAGCCGAAGCAGAGGCCGCCUGGAUCCUAAUCAAGGAAAUGUGCUGCUAUACCAACUGGGGAAGACCUGGAUCCACGGGGCUGGGGGCGGGACGGGGGUUCAGUGAAAGGAUUUCGGGGGCCUUGGAGAAGGUCUCAUCAGAUGCACCGCACUGACGAAUGGGAAGCUAGGAGGAAGAGGUCAGCGUUCUGAGGGCCAAAGUGGGGGACAGUCCACCAACCCCAAAGACGAACAGCAGUGCCAAAGGAGAGCCGUGUGGCGCUCCUCACCCCGACACUCACAGGUGCCUGACCCAAAGGGCUGAUUUGGAAUCAGCAGGCCCGGCUACCAUCCUCCCCAAAGAUCGCAGGGCGACUCAGUGAGCAGGUCGAGAAUCCAUCAAUACGUUGUUAUUCUAUUUCUAAGUGAAAUCGGUCCUUCCAAAUUCACCAAUGGGGAAAAGAUAUUUUAGAUCCCAAAUAUCAUUUGGCUCUUGACCCAGGACACUUCAAAGCAGGUCCACUUAGACACAAUGAUGAAUAUUCGCCAGGCUCCCCACCUCCUCUCAUCCCACAGUCACCGCAAACUCAUUACGGCUGCCUUCUCCCAUCGUCACAUCCUGAGUGCCCGCUGCAGGCCACAGACAAUCCUAUUGGAGAGCUGUGUCCCUCCCCAGAGAAAUGCCAGACCCCUCGUGGGGCUUGCUCGGGGAUGAAGGUGUGGCAGAAGGAUCCCUUCUACCACCUGGAACCUAAAAAGGACAGUAAGUACCGCCCAGUGGGAAAAACUGCCUCCAGUGGGUGAAGGGUUAAUCCCUGGCCAGCCAUCAUCCCCCGCUGAGCGUGCUAAUAAGUGUAAGAGCUGGUGCCAAUGAGGGUGGCCCUUCCCUUGAUGGGAACCGGAACCGGGAACCAGAACCGCCACCCUUAGGAACUGGACUGUCCACACCUCCCCCCAGGGCGGCGACCC